GAAUUUUGGACAAUGGGCGAAAGCAUGAUCCAGCAACGCCGCGUGAGUGAUGAAGGGUUUCGGCUCGUAAAGCUCUGUUGCCAGGGAAGAACGCUUGGGAUAGUAACUGCUCCCAAGGUGACGGGACCUGAUAAGAACGCCCCGGCUCACUAGCAGCCAGCAGCCGCGGAACUACGUAGGGCGCAAGCGUUGCCCGGAUUUAUUGGGCGUAAAGCGCGCGCAGGCGGCCUUGUAAGUCUGUUGGUUAAACUUGGGGCGCAACCCCAAGUCGCAAUGGAAACUGCAAAGCUUGAGUACAGAAGAGGAAAGUGGAAUUCCACGUGGAGCGGUGAAAUGCGUAGAGAUGUGGAGGAACACCAGUGGCGAAGGCGACUUUCUGGGCUGUAACUGACGCUGAGGCGCGAAAGCGUGGGGAGCAAACA
rnacentral:rRNA from 1 species